rnacentral:rRNA from 1 species
GACGAACGCUGGCGGCGUGCUUAACACAUGCAAGUCGAACGAUGAAGCUGGAGCUUGCUCUGGCGGAUUAGUGGCGAACGGGUGAGUAACACGUGAGAAAUCUGCCCUUGACUCUGGGAUAACUGCGGGAAACUGUAGCUAAUACCGGAUACUUUCCCUGGUAGGCAUCCACUGGGGAAGAAAGAAUUUCGGUCAAGGAUGAUCUCGCGGCCUAUCAGCUUGUUGGUGAGGUAAUGGCUCACCAAGGCGACGACGGGUAGCCGGCCUGAGAGGGUGACCGGCCACACUGGGACCGAGACACGGCCCAGACUCCUACGGGAGGCAGCAGUGGGGAAUAUUGCACGAUGGGCGCAAACCUGAUGCAGCAACGCCGCGUGAGGGAUGAAGGCCUUCGGGUUGUAAACCUCUUUUAGCAGGGAAGAAGCGAAAGUGACGGUACCUGCAGAAAAAGCACCGGCUAACUACGUGCCAGCCGCCGCGGUAA